rnacentral:tRNA from 1 species
AGGUCUUUAGCUCAAUUGGUAGAGUAGUGGUCUCCAAAACCAUUGGUUGCAGGUUCAAGUCCUGCAAGGCCUG